UUGAAUGACUUUGUCUGUAAAUAAUCAACCUGUUAAUAGCCAACGGUUUGAUCUGUAGGCUGACAUUUAGUUCGAGAUGACACUGAUGAUGCUAUACUGUAUGACUGUAAAGCAGCAGCCUCCCACUCAAGCUAGCUAAGCUAACUUAUCCAUCAGUAGUAGCUGUCACAACAUCAUUUAGCGAUUUACCACACUGACAGUGAACAUUCACGUAUCUUAUGUGC